GACGAACGCUGGCGGCGUGCUUAACACAUGCAAGUCGAACGGAAAGGCCCUGCUUUUGUGGGGUUCUCGAGUGGCGAACGGGUGCGUAACACGUGAGUAACCUGCCCUUGACUUUGGGAUAACUUCAGGAAACUGGGGCUAAUACCGUAUAGGAGCUCCUGCUGCAUGGUGGGGGUUGGAACGUUUCGGCGGUUGGGGAUGGACUCGCGGCUUAUCAGCUUGUUGGUGGGGUAGUGGCUUACCAAGGCUUUGACGGGUAGCCGGCCUGAGAGGGUGACCGGCCACAUUGGGACUGAGAUACGGCCCAGACUCCUACGGGAGGCAGCAGUGGGGAAUAUUGCACAAUGGGCGGAAGCCUGAUGCAGAAACGCCGCGUUCGGGAUGACGGCCUUCGGGUUGUAAACCGCUUUCGCCUGUGACGAAGCGUGAGUGACGGUAAUGGGUAAAGAAGCACCGGCUAACUACGUG
rnacentral:rRNA from 1 species